rnacentral:rRNA from 1 species
GUAAUGCCGGAUGUUCCACAUGAUCGCAUGUGAUUGUGGGAAAGAUUCUAUCGGCGUGGGAUGGGGUCGCGUCCUAUCAGCUUGUUGGUGAGGUAACGGCUCACCAAGGCUUCGACGGGUAGCCGGCCUGAGAGGGCGACCGGCCACAUUGGGACUGAGAUACGGCCCAGACUCCUACGGGAGGCAGCAGUGGGGAAUAUUGCACAAUGGGCGCAAGCCUGAUGCAGCGACGCCGCGUGAGGGAUGGAGGCCUUCGGGUUGUAAACCUCUUUUGUUUGGGAGCAAGCCUUCGGGUGAGUGUACCUUUCGAAUAAGCGCCGGCUAACUACGUGCCAGCAGCCGCGGUAAUACGUAGGGCGCAAGCGUUAUCCGGAUUUAUUGGGCGUAAAGGGCUCGUAGGCGGCUCGUCGCGUCCGGUGUGAAAGUCCAUCGCUUAACGGUGGAUCUGCGCCGGGUACGGGCGGGCUGGAGUGCGGUAGGGGAGACUGGAAUUCCCGGUGUAACGGUGGAAUGUGUAGAUAUCGGAAA